GGCAAGCGUUGUCCGGAAUUAUUGGGCGUAAAGCGCGCGCAGGCGGUUUCUUAAGUCUGAUGUGAAAGCCCCCGGCUCAACCGGGGAGGGUCAUUGGAAACUGGGAAACUUGAGUGCAGAAGAGGAGAGUGGAAUUCCACGUGUAGCGGUGAAAUGCGUAGAGAUGUGGAGGAACACCAGUGGCGAAGGCGACUCUCUGGUCUGUAACUGACGCUGAGGCGCGAAAGCGUGGGGAGCGAACAGGAUUAGAUACCCUGGUAGUCCACGCCGUAAACGAUGAGUGCUAAGUGUUAGAGGGUUUCCGCCCUUUAGUGCUGCAGCUAACGCAUUAAGCACUCCGCCUGGGGAGUACGGUCGCAAGACUGAAACUCAAAGGAAUUGACGGGGGCCCGCACAAGCGGUGGAGCGUGUGGUUUAAUUCGAAGCAACGCGAAGAACCUUACCAGGUCUUGACAUCCUUUGCCACCUCUAGAGAUAGAAGGUUCCCCUUCGGGGGACAAAGU
rnacentral:rRNA from 1 species